rnacentral:rRNA from 1 species
ACCGAGACGAGCCUUUAAGGCAAAGUCACUGAUACCACGCUUCCAGGAAAAGCUCCUAAGCUUCAGCUUACGCAGACCGUACCGUAAACCGACACAGGUGGGUAGGAUGAGAAUUCUCAGGCGCUUGAGAGAACUCGGGUGAAGGAACUAGGCAACAUGGCACCGUAACUUCGGGAGAAGGUGCGCCCUUUUUGGUGGCUCAUGCGAGCUAUAGCUGAAGAGGGCCGCAGUAACCAGGCCGCUGCGACUGUUUAUCAAAAACACAGCACUCUGCAAACACGAAAGUGGACGUAUAGGGUGUGACGCCUGCCCGGUGCUGGAAGGUUAAUUGAUGGGGUCAGCCGCAAGGCGAAGCUCUUGAUCGAAGCCCCAGUAAACGGCGGCCGUAACUAUAACGGUCCUAAGGUAGCGAAAUUCCUUGUCGGGUAAGUUCCGACCUGCACGAAUGGCGUAACGACAGCGGCGCUGUCUCCACCCGAGACUCAGUGAAAUUGAAAUCGCUGUGAAGAUGCAGCGUUCCCGUGGCAAGACGGAAAGACCCCGUGAACCUUUACUAUAGCUUUACACUGAACGUUGAGUUCGUCUGUGUAGGAUAGGUGGGAGGCUAUGAAACUGUGGCGCUAGCUGCAGUGGAGCCAUCCUUGAAAUACCACCCUGUCGUGCUUGACGUUCUAACCUAGGUCCAUAAUCUGGAUCGGGGACCGUGUAUGGUGGGUAGUUUGACUGGGGCGGUCUCCUCCUAAAGAGUAACGGAGGAGCUCGAAGGUACGCUCAGCGCGGUCGGACAUCGCGCACUGUGUGCAAAGGCAUAAGCGUGCUUGACUGCAAGAUCGACGGAUCAAGCAGGUAGGAAACUAGGACUUAGUGAUCCGGUGGUUCUGUAUGGAAGGGCCAUCGCUCAACGGAUAAAAGGUACUCCGGGGAUAACAGGCUGAUACCGCCCAAGAGUUCAUAUCGACGGCGGUGUUUGGCACCUCGAUGUCGGCUCAUCACAUCCUGGGGCUGUAGUCGGUCCCAAGGGUAUGGCUGUUCGCCAUUUAAAGUGGUACGCGAGCUGGGUUCAGAACGUCGUGAGACAGUUCGGUCCCUAUCUGCCAUGGGCGUUGGAGAUUUGAGAGGGGCUGCUCCUAGUACGAGAGGACCGGAGUGGACGAACCUCUGGUGUUCCGGUUGUCACGCCAGUGGCAUUGCCGGGUAGCUAUGUUCGGAAGCGAUAACCGCUGAAAGCAUCUAAGCGGGAAGCGCGCCUCAAGAUGAGAUCUCCCGGGGCACAAGCCCCCUGAAGGAACCAUAUAGACUAUGUGGUUGAUAGGUCAGGUGUGUAAGUACAGCAAUGUAUUGAGCUAACUGAUACUAAUGAUCCGUGUGGCUUGACCAUAUAACCUCA